GCAAUGGAUUCUUUGGAGCUGGAUGCAAUUUAACUUGUCCAAGAGGGUGGUAUGGUUUUCACUGUAGUAAGAUUUGCACGUGUACAAAAGAGGAGUGUCACCACAUUUAUGGAUGCAAAAGAAAUAUUUCGGACUGUGAAGAGGGGUUUAUAGGUCAUUAUUGUGAAAUACCCUGUCCGUAUCCUAACUAUGGCCAGUAUUGUCAGAAGAAGUGCCAUUGUGAAGUACAAUACUGUAAUCCAAAACAUGGAUGCAUCGAUUUGACCACAAAAGGUAUUGUUACCUUUAAUGAAGUCCAUAUCACGAAUAUAGUCUCCUCUUCUUUUUCUCUCAGCGGGAAAGUUAAAGGUACAAUUACUGUUAUUUAUGACGUCCGAAAUGUUUUCAAAGGAAAAACUAAAACUGAGUAACAUUUGAAGACAUAUUGACUAUUUGGUCAAGAUUCAACAAAUCAAAGAUAAGUGUAUAAAGUUACUUCAAGGAAAAGAAAAAAUGU